UCUGCAACCCGACUACAUGAAGCUGGAAUCGCUAGUAAUCGCGGAUCAGAAUGCCGCGGUGAAUACGUUCCCGGGUCUUGUACACACCGCCCGUCACACCAUGGGAGUCGGAAAUGCCCGAAGUCUGUGACCCAACCAUUAAGGAGGGAGCAGCCGAAGGCAGGUCGGAUGACUGGGGUGAAGUCGUAACAAGGUACC
rnacentral:rRNA from 1 species